rnacentral:rRNA from 1 species
CCCCUAGAUGUUCUGGGCCGCACGCGCGCUACACUGAACAGUUCAACAAGUCUUAACCUUGGCCGAUAGGUCUGGGUAAUCUUUGAACGCUGUUCGUGAUUGGGAUAGACCUUUGCAAUUAUGGGUCUUCAACGAGGAAUUCCUAGUAAACGCAAGUCAUCAGCUUGCAUUGAUUACGUCCCUGCCCUUUGUACACACCGCCCGUCGCACCUACCGAUUGAAUGGUCCGGUGACAUCUCGGGACGGCGGCUUGGUCGCUUGCGUCCGACUGCUGAAACUUGAUUAAACCAUAUCAUUUAGAGGAAGGUGAAGUCGUAACA